rnacentral:tRNA from 1 species
GGCCCGUUAGCUCAGUUGGUUAGUGCGUCGUGCUAAUAACGCGAAGGUCGUGGGUUCGAUCCCCCCACGGGCCA